rnacentral:rRNA from 1 species
GCGGUUUGUCGCGUCUGCCGUGNAAGUCCGGGGCUCAACUCCGGAUCUGCGGUGGGUACGGGCAGACUAGAGUGAUGUAGGGGAGACUGGAAUUCCUGGUGUAGCGGUGAAAUGCGCAGAUAUCAGGAGGAACACCGAUGGCGAAGGCAGGUCUCUGGGCAUUAACUGACGCUGAGGAGCGAAAGCAUGGGGAGCGAACAGGAUUAGAUACCCUGGUAGUCCAUGCCGUAAACGUUGGGCACUAGGUGUGGGGGACAUUCCACGUUUUCCGCGCCGUAGCUAACGCAUUAAGUGCCCCGCCUGGGGAGUACGGCCGCAAGGCUAAAACUCAAAGGAAUUGACGGGGGCCCGCACAAGCGGCGGAGCAUGCGGAUUAAUUCGAUGCAACGCGAAGAACCUUACCAAGGCUUGACAUGGACCGGACCGCCGCAGAGAUGUGGUUUCCCCUUUGGGGCCGGUUCACAGGUGGUGCAUGGUUGUCGUCAGCUCGUGUCGUGAGAUGUUGGGUUAAGUCCCGCAACGAGCGCAACCCUCGUUCUAUGUUGCCAGCACGUGAUGGUGGGGACUCAUAGGAGACUGCCGGGGUCAACUCGGAGGAAGGUGGGGACGACGUCAAAUCAUCAUGCCCCUUAUGUCUUGGGCUUCACGCAUGCUACAAUGGCCGGUACAAAGGGUUGCGAUACUGUGAGGUGGAGCUAAUCCCAAAAAGCCGGUCUCAGUUCGGAUUNGGGGUCUGCAACUCGACCCCAUGAAGUCGGAGUCGCUAGUAAUCGCAGAUCAGCAACGCUGCGGUGAAUACGUUCCCGGGGCCUUGUACACACCGCCCGUCAAGUCACGAAAGUUGGUAACACCCGAAGCCGGUGGCCUAACCCCNUUGUGGGGAGGGAGCU